CGGUAAUUCCAGCUCCAAUAGCGUAUAUUAAAGUUGUUGCUGUUAAAAAGCUCGUAGUUGAACUUCUGACAGCGAGCAGGUUUGGCUUUGGCCAGCCUGUUCGUUGUCAUCCGUCUGCAAACCUUGUACGUCCUUCAGUGGUUCGGCAAGGGGAGUAGACAAUUUACUUUGAAAAAAUUAGAGUGUUCAAAGCAGGUAUUAGCCUGAAUACUUUAGCAUGGAAUAAUGGAAUACGACUCUUGUCUAUUUAUGUUGGUUAUUAGACUUGAGUAAUGAUUAAUAGGGACAGUUGAAGGCAUUAGUACUUAGUUGUCAGAGGUGAAAUUCAUGGAUUUAUUAAAGACUAACUAAUGCGAAAGCAUUUGCCAAGGAUGUUUUCAUUAAUCAAGAACGAAAGUUCGAGGAUAGACGGCGAUCAGACACCACUUUAUUUCGAACUAUAAACUAUACCGAUUUGAGAUAGCCAAUUUUAAUCGAAUAAUUGGCUG
rnacentral:rRNA from 1 species